GGAACGAAGUUCUUGGACUUGAGACUUAAAUUAGGACAUUGUGCACUGAAAGAAUUUUGGAGAAGGAUGUUCUGGAAAGGAUAAGAAUGUGAUGAACUAAGGUUUUAGUGGCAACGAGAGGCAUGUAGCAAGUAAAGGAAGAUGCUAGUGUAUUAUGUUUGUGUUUGUGUUAGGAGCUUAUGAUGUAAUCUUUUGUUACAAACUUGAAGACGUUGUAAGAGCUUUAUAUUAUUAA